GACAAUGAGGAUGUUAGCUGAGAAGAGGGAGUCCUGAAAUGCCAGUUAACCCAGCAGAAGUUGAUAAGCUCACUCACAGCCAGGGACAUGGUUUCCCAGAUUUUAUAAGAAAAGCCAGUGGGCUCCCAGACAAAGUUAAAAAGAUCCAUCAUCAAUGUGGUUCCUUUUCUCUGCACCAUAAAUAACAGCUGAGGAAGGGGAACAUCUCCCACAACACGGUGGCAUCGAACUUUAACCAAUUUUGGAAUAUAGUGUUUGUUAAGCCUUCUUGGGAUGGGAGCCAAGAGUACCUGCGUGCCCAUCAUUUGUCUCAUGGCCUUCCAGGUUUUGGACGAAGACACUCCAAGUCUAAGCAUAGAGAAAUUUGCAUCUGAUUUCAGUUGUACUUGCCAGAUGGAAGAUGGACUUUUGUAGGUUUUUAUAUAUGGCUCAUCUGGGUUGGCCCCAGUUUAUGUCCCUGGUUCCAGUUAAAUUAUUAAAAGCAACUUCUUUUACUUUCAAAAUUGUCCUGGUUUGGAUAAUAAGUUAUGUGGUCACUGUAGAUGUAUACUGAGAAACACAGGGCUUCAUAUGACCUCUAGUUUUUUCCCAUUCCCCAUUAGAUGCUCAUUCUGUGUAUUGGAACCCCC
rnacentral:lncRNA from 1 species